rnacentral:rRNA from 1 species
AUUGAACGCUAGCGGGAUGCUUUACACAUGCAAGUCGAACGGCAGCACGAAAAGAGCUUGCUCUUUUUGGUGGCGAGUGGCGAACGGGUGAGUAAUGUAUCGGAACGUACCCAGUAGCGGGGGAUAACUACGCGAAAGCGUGGCUAAUACCGCAUACGCCCUACGGGGGAAAGGGGGGGAUCGCAAGACCUCUCACUAUUGGAGCGGCCGAUAUCGGAUUAGCUAGUUGGUGGGGUAAAGGCUCACCAAGGCAACGAUCCGUAGCUGGUUUGAGAGGACGACCAGCCACACUGGAACUGAGACACGGUCCAGACUCCUACGGGAGGCAGCAGUGGGGAAUUUUGGACAAUGGGGGAAACCCUGAUCCAGCCAUCCCGCGUGUGCGAUGAAGGCCUUCGGGUUGUAAAGCACUUUUGGCAGGGAAGAAACGGCGCUGACUAAUACUUGGCGCAACUGACGUUACCUGCAGAAUAAGCACCGGCUAACUACGUG